rnacentral:rRNA from 1 species
CCAAUAGCGUAUAUUAAAGUUGUUGCAGUUAAAAAGCUCGUAGUUGAAUUUCGGGAUUCGUCCAUUGGUCAGGCUUAACUGUCUGUACUGAUGUUUCGGAUUUCUACCUUCUGAAGAACCUUCAUGCCAUUAAUUUGGUGUGUUGGGGAAUCAGGACUGUUACUUUGAAAAAAUUAGAGUGUUUGAAGCAGGCUAACGUCUGAAUACAUUAGCAUGGAAUAAUGAAAUAGGACGGUACGGUUCUAUUUUGUUGGUUUCUAGGAUCGCCGUAAUGAUUAAUAGGGAUAGUUGGGGGCAUUAGUAUUCAAUUGUCAGAGGUGAAAUUCUUGGAUUUAUUGAAGACUAACUACUGCGAAAGCAUUUGCCAAGGAUGUUUUCAUUAAUCAAGAACGAAAGUUAGGGGAUCGAAGACGAUCAGAUACCGUCGUAGUCUUAACCAUAAACUAUGCCGACUAGGGAUUGGACGAUGUUAAUUUUUUAAUGACUCGUUCAGCACCUUACG